ACCUGGUUGAUCCUGCCAGUAUUAUAUGCUGAUGUUAAAGAUUAAGCCAUGCAUGUGUAAGUUUAAAGACCAAGUAGGAUGAAACUGCGGACGGCUCAUUAUAACAGUAAUAGUUUCUUUGGUUAGUAGGUACAAGGAUAACUUUGUGAAUGAUAAAGCUAAUACUUGAGACGAUCUGGGGAGUACUUGUACUUUCCGGCCGGUGGUCGCAAGGCUGCCGAAAAAUGACAUUCUCUUGUGAAAAAGGAUGCCACGACAAUUGAAGAAGGCGACGCUUUUUACAAGUAACCAAUGGGAAUUUCUGAUCUAUCAAUUCGUUGGUAGUAUCGAGGACUACCAAGAUUAUAACGGAUAACGAGGAAUUGGGGUUCGACAUCGGAGAGGGAGCUUUACAGAUGGCUACCACUUCUAAGGAAGGCAGCAGGCGCGUAAAUUACCCACUUUCGACAUGAAGAGGUAGUGACGACAAUUAACUCUUGGGGCUUUUGAGCUUCUUGAAGGAAUGAUUAAGAAUCAAAUUCUCUUAAGAAAUCAAUUGGAGGGCAAGUCUGGUGCCAGCAGCCGCGGUAAUUCCAGCUCCAAUAGUGUAUAUUAAAGUUGCUGUGAUUAAAACGCUCGUAGUUGAAUUAUAAAGCAUCCAGUGGGCGAAUCUUUGCUUGCAAAGGGGAAGUUUCACAAUAUAAAGGUGCGGAGGCGAUGCUUCUUCGGAAGUGUCAUUACUUUGAAAAAAAUAGGGUGUUUAAAGCAAAUCUUAUGUUAAUGAAUAAUGAAGCAUGGGACAAUAUCGAGGGGAUCCUUCGGGAUUUCGAGAUAAGGAUUAAGAGGAACAAUUGGGGUGAUUCAGAAAAUAACGGGAGAGGUAAAAUUCCAUGAUCGCUAUAAGAUGCACGAGAGCGAAAGCAUUUCACUCAAUUGCGUUCAUUAAUCAAGAACGAAAGUUAGGGGAUCGAAGACGAUCAGAUACCGUCGUAGUCCUAACUAUAAACGAUGUCAACCAAGGAUUGGAUUAGUUUUAGAACAACUGAGGUCAGGUAGCAUAGCUACAGGGCUGAGGGAGUUCGCUUCCACCUUAUUCAGAACUUAAAGAGAAAUCUUGAGUUUAUGGACUUCAGGGGGAGUAUGGUCACAAGGCUGAAACUUAAAGGAAUUGACGGAAGGGCACACCAGGAGUGGAGCCUGCGGCUUAAUUUGACUCAACACGGGAAAACUUACCAAGACCGAACAGUGUUAGGAAUGACAGAUUAAGGGUUCUUUCAUGAUUCAUUGGGUAGUGGUGCAUGGCCGUUCUUAGUUGGUGGAGUGAUUUGUCAGGUUAAUUCCGGUAACGAACGAGACUGAAGCCUAUUAAUUAGUUUCCCGCCUAUACGACGGGAAUGUCCGUAUGGAUGGAUGCAUUUGUAUCACUUCUUAAAGGGACUAAUAUCAAUUGUUUCUCGGUUAAUUUGUGAUACUAUUUCGAUAGUACCUUUUUAAUCGGAAAAAAAGAUAAUGGAAGCAUUCAGCAAUAACAGGUCUGUGAUGCCCUUAGACAUCUUGGGCUGCACGCGCGCUACAAUGGAGAUACUAGCGAGUAUUUGCCGGGGAUGCCCAUUUUGCUGGCUAUGUCAGUGGAGUGGGAUUUUCAACGGUGUACCGAGACUGAAAUAGUUUAGGAAAACUCAAAAGAUCGUACAUGACAGGGAUAAAUGAUUGGAAUUAUUUGUUUUGAACGAGGAAUUCCUUGUAAUAUCGAGUCACUAGCUCGAGAUGAAUACGUCCCUGCCCUUUGUACACACCGCCCGUCGCUCCUACCGAUUGGAUGUGGAGGUGAAAUUCUAGGACUCUGGCAUUAGUUGGGGAAAUGGAUUUAAAUCUCUUUAUCUAGAGGAAGGAGAAGUCGUAACAAGGUUUCCGUAGGUGAACCUGCAGAAGGAUCA
rnacentral:rRNA from 1 species